AUGUUUUCUCCUUUUUUUUUUCGAACCACGAAACAAACGCAAGUCUCCCCUUUUUGCAGAAUGCGAUAUCCACUCAACCAAUCACAGCGCACCAUUCCACAUACUGUAAACAGUAACAACCGAUCACAGCGCACCAUUCCACAUACUGUAAACUGUAACAACCAAUCACAGCGCACCAUUCCACGUACUGUAAACGGUAACAACCAAUCACAUCGCACCAUUCCACGUACUGUAAACAGUAACAACCAAUCACAGCGCACCAUUCCACGCACUGUAAACAGUAACAACCAAUCACAGCACACCAUUCCACGUACUGUAAAUGUUAACAACCAAUCACAGCGCACCAUUCCACGUACUGUAAAUGGUAACAACCGAUCACAGCACACCAUUCCACGUACUGUAAAUGGUAACAACCGAUCACAGCACACCAUUCCACGUACUGUUAAAGGUAACAACCAAUCACAGCGCACCAUUCCACGUACUGUAAACGGUAACAACCAAUCACAGCGCACCAUUCCACGUACUGUAAACAGUAACAACCAAUCACAGCACACCAUUCCACGUACUGUUAAAGGUAACAACCAAUCACAGCGCACCAUUCCACGUACUGUAAACGGUAACAACCAAUCACAGCGCACCAUUCCACGUACUGUAAACAGUAACAACCAAUCACAGCGCACCAUUCCACGCACUGUAAACAGUAACAACCAAUCACAGCACACCAUUCCACGUACUGUAAAUGUUAACAACCAAUCACAGCGCACCAUUCCACGUACUGUAAAUGGUAACAACCAAUCACAGCACACCAUUCCACAUACUGUAAAUGGUAACAACCAAUCACAGCACACCAUUCCACGUACUGUAAACAGUAACAACCUAUUACAGCACACCAUUCCACGUACUGUAAACAGUAACAACCAAUCACAGCGCACCAUUCCAUGUACUGUAAACAGUAACAACCAAUCACAGCACACCAUUGCAUGCACUUUAGACAGUAAUGGCUUUGCUUUGAAUUCAACCGGCAUCCUAGUUUUCCUCAUCUAC
rnacentral:lncRNA from 1 species